UUUUCGAAGAGUUUGAUCCUGGCUCAGAGUGAACGUUGGCGGUGCGCCUAAAACAUGCAAGUCGAGCGCCCUGGACCCUGUCCUUCAUUUGGAGGCUAGAGUCCAGGGAGCGGCAAACGGCUGCGUAACACGUGGGUACCUACCUCGAACUCAGGGAUAACCCGCCGAAAGGCGGGCUAAUACCGGAUGGUCCCGAAAGGGUAAAGCUUUCGCGGUUCGAGAGGGGCCUGCGGCCUAUCAGGUAGUUGGUAAGGUAACGGCUUACCAAGCCUAUGACGGGUAGCUGGUCUGAGAGGACGACCAGCCAGAAUGGAACUGAGACACGGUCCAUACUCCUACGGGAGGCAGCAGUUAGGAAUCUUCCGCAAUGGGCGAAAGCCUGACGGAGCGACACCGCGUGAAGGAUGAAACCCUUUACUGGGCGUAAACUUCUGUUGUGAGGGACGAAAUUUUUGACGGUACCUCACGAGAAAGCACCGGCUAAUUCUGUGCCAGCAGCCGCGGUAAGACAGAAGGUGCAAACGUUACUCGGAAUUACUGGGCGUAAAGCGUCUGCAGGUUUCCUGCCACGUCUGGCGUCAAAACGCAGUGCUCAACACUGCGUCCGUGCCGGAAACGAGCGGGAUAGAGCCACUCAGAGGCAUCUGGAAUGUCGUGUGUAGGGGUAAAAUCCGUAGAUCCACGAUGGAACGCCAAAAGCGAAAGCAGGAUGCUGGGGGUGCGCUGACACUCAGAGACGAAAGCGUGGGGAGCAAAGGGGAUUAGAUACCCCCGUAGUCCACGCCCUAAACGAUGCGAGCUCGGUGUAGGGACCUCAAUCGGUUCCUGUGCCCUAAGCUUACGCGGUAAGCUCGCCGCCUGGGAAGUACGGCCGCAAGGCUAAAACUCAAAGGAAUAGACGGGGACCCACACAAGCGGUGGAGCAUGGGGUUUAAUUCGAUGACAAGCGAAGCACCUCACCCAGACUUGACAUGGUAGGAAUCGUUUAGAAAUAGACGAGUGCCGCAAGGAGCCUAUACACAGGCGCUGCACGGUCGUCGUCAGCUCGUGCCUUGAGGUGUACUGUUCAGUCAGCAAACGAGCGCAACCCUCAUCUCAUGUUGUAUUCUCAUGAGAGACUGCCGCCUCCAAGGCGGAGGAAGGUGAGGAUGACGUCAGAUCAGCGUGGCCUUUAUGUCUGGGGCAACACCCGUGCUACAAUGGCCGGCACAAACCGUUGCGAACCCGCGAGGGGGAGCCAAUCGGAAAAAACCGGCCUCAGUUCGGAUUGGAGUCUGCAACUCGACUCCAUGAAGUUGGAAUCGCUAGUAACCGUGAAUCAGCUACGUCACGGUGAAUAUGUUCCUGGGUCUUGUACUCACCGCCCGUCAACUCAUGGAAGGUAGGGGCACCUGAAGGACCUUUACUCGCAAGAGGGGGUACCACGGUGACACUACUGACUGGGAGUAAGUCGUAACAAGGUAUCCGUAGGAGAACCUGCGGAUGGAACACCUCCUUA
rnacentral:rRNA from 1 species